rnacentral:tRNA from 1 species
GGCACUGUAGCUCAGUUGGUAGAGCACAUGCUUAACAAGAUCGUGAUCGCAUGUUGUCGUCGGUUCGAGCCCGGCCAGAGUCA